GCUGCCUGAGCCCCGCGCUGCUCCGGCGGCGCCACACGGCGAAGACCUCCGCCCCGCAGCACCUCACGGCGGACGCGGGCGACGGGCUCAAGAGCGGCCUUGAUGGGGGAGUUCUGCUCUGCUUGUUAGGCCUCGGAGCUGAUCCGGUGCGCUGCAAACGGGCAUCGUGGUUCUGCAUUCCUGCUGCUUGUGUGCUAGUGUCCUUGGGCACCGUUGUCAUAAAACCUCCUUUCUCAGUCAAGUAGGAAUAGCUCCUAUCUAAAUCGCAUAUAUUGCGGUCUGUGGCCAAAGAUGAGCUACUCCUUGUGUCUGCAUGCUCAGGAGACAGGAUACACCUGUGUUCUUGUCUGUGCAUGGGUGGGAAGCCAGCUUAAAGCAACGGGCCUUACAUGUAAAGCUCCAGCGUGACGCAUGGCCGCUUUGGAGUGAGAAGCAGACAGCCGUGUGCAAGCUGUGAGCAGCUAAGCUCAGACAUCAGCCAGCUACAGCAGUGCUAGCUAUGCUUUCAAGCACUGUAGUCAAACUCAUCCUCCUGCCCCAAUGUGACUACACCCAAACGCUGGCUAAUAAAUGGCAGCUUGUCUGUGCACUGACUUAA